rnacentral:rRNA from 1 species
GACGAACGCUGGCGGCGUGCUUAACACAUGCAAGUCGAGCGGUAAGGCCCUUUCGGGGGUACGACGAGCGGCGAACGGGUGAGUAACACGUGGGUGACCUGCCCUCAGCUCUGGGAGUAAGCCUGGGAAACCGGGUCUAAUACUGGAUAUGACUCCAUGUACGCAUGUUGUGGGGUGGAAAGCCUUGUGCGGCUGAGGAUGGGCCCGCGGCCUAUCCAGCUUGUUGGUGGGGUGANGGCCUACCAAGGCGACGACGGGUAGCCGGCCUGAGAGGGCGACCGGCCACGACU